GGCAAUGUUAUCUAGCUAAACUCAUGCGCAGUAACAUGUCAUCUGGUUUCACUGUCAAACACGUUCUCAUUGUUAGUCGUCUCGCGCCAUACUACGCAUGUGCAAACCGUAGUUCGAUAUAAAAGUUUUUGACAAAAUUUCAAUUUGUCAUUUUCACGAGGUUGGGGUAAUGCCAUGUUCAACUACUUAAGACAUUUGCUCGAAUCUCGGUUUUGCCUUUAGAUUUUGAGAAAAUGAACAACUAAGGAAUAAUUUGUCACUUCUCUCAUACCUCAAACCACGACCUUCGCAAGUGUUCCUGGCAGUCUCGUGAUGUUGCGGCUUUGGGUUUAGAAACUGGAUAAUGUAUCUAGCUUUUUCCCACAACGGUUUCAAAAGGCCAGUAAUUUACAAUACCUGGCUGAAAAUUACAACAUUCUUGUUAUUAUAACCAAUUUGUAUUUUAAUUUAUGUCUGUAAUUUAGUAAGUGCAGCAGCUACCGCCUCAGUCUGGGACUAAGAGCGUCGUCAAUGGACGACUGCAAAUUCAUUAGGAUUAUAAAUUCUUCUGACAAGGGCUGAACUCCCCAGUACCUGCUUUUAUGAGGAGAGGCAGAUUUGAACUAGUGAACAAUGAUCCGCUUCUCGCACCCAGUAACUUCAAGGAGGAUGAGUGGACCCCUCGACUGGAGAGAUGCUGGAGUUAUGUAGUGAAAGCAGAGCAGAAAGAGAUCACUGUCACAGUGAAAGAAGAAGGAAAAAUAAGCUUUCGGAAUGAAAGGGGAGGCUCUGACAAGAUUGAAAGAAUAGGAGGACGUUACAGUGAAAGAGGGGGAGGAAGAGAUGACAGUCCCAGUGAAAGAAGAGGAUGACGUUACAGUGAAAGAGGGGGAGGAAGAGAUGACAGUCCCAGUGAAAGAAGAGGAUGACGUUACAGUGAAAGAGGGGGAGGAAGAGAUGACCCAGUGAAAGAGGAGAUUGGAGAUCUGAUUAACACCAGGAGUGUGAACGUUGAGUCUUUCCAGAUCUUCUCGUGCGCUGGCCGUCCGUUUUCCUUCACCUCUCAGAUCUUCCUCCUCAAGCACAUAAAGAGAUGUCACCAUGAUGAGUAUGUCAGACUGUUGAGGAGUGGAGAGAUCAGAUCAGAGAAUCUCAUGUCCUCCAGCAGCUCACAACACCAUGGAACCACCACAGCUUUAUUCAACCCAGCUCCCACCAGGAGCCAAAGCCACACCACACCACUGUUCUCAGUGUGGGGAGAGCUUCAUUAAAGAUAAUCUCAGAACACACCAACGCAUUCACACAGGAGAGAAGCCGUUCCACUGCUCCCAGUGUGGGAAGUUUCAGGGAGUCAGGAAAUUUAAAGAUACAUGAGCGCAUUCACACAGGACAGAAGCAAUUCCACUGUUCCCAGUGUGGGAAGAGCUUCAGGAAGUCAGGAAAUUUCAAGAUAUGUGGGAAGAAGUGUGGGAAGAGCUUUGGUUUCAUAGACGUUCUAACAGCACACCCAGCGCACUCACACAGGAGAGAAACCGUUCCACUGCUCCCAGUGUGGGAAGAGUUUCAAUACAGGGACUGAUUACAAUAGACAAGUUCACUCACACAGGAGAGAAGCCGUUCCACUGCUCCCAGUGUGGGAAGCAUUUCAGGAAGUCAGGAAAGUUAAAAAUAAACUAGCGCAUUCACACAGGAGAGAAGCCAUUCCACUGCUCCCAGUGUCGGAAGACUUUCAUUCUAAAUCUAAAGACGCACCAGUGUUCUUAAAAAGUAAAGAAGAUUACACUUGUAAUUAGGAUGGUAAUGUGACAAUGAGAUUCAGUAACUUUAUAUUCUAUCAAGAAACAUGACUGAAGUAUUUUGUACGUAGAUACCAGGUUUGGGAUUAGUUCAGGAGGUACAAUUUAAAUUCCAUUUCUCUUCCAAUGUUUUUCAAUUAGUAAAAUUUGGACUUGACAUGGAAUUGACCCCAACUCUGAUAGAUAAUGUUGAAUUAUUCUGAUAUGAUAUUCAGGAAACUCACAUUUAAAUAUAGUAAAUUACGCAUGUGUAUUUUAAAUGUAAAUAUUUAACUAAUCUUUAUGAACUGAAAUGUAUACCCCCUCAAAUCAUAAACAUGGCAAGAUUUAAAUCUGUUUUUGAUAUCAUAAUAAAAUACACAUCUCCUAUCCUUCGUUGCUCGUCUUGUCAGAUAUGAGCAACUCACACCCAGAGAAGGAUUCUCUCAUCUUCAUCAUUCUAUGUAUUCACUGUUGAUGGUCUGACUCCGAGUAGGGAGUUGUUCUGAGGCCAGUUUAUUUUCUCUCCAGGGGCCUCAUUUAUAACCUUUGUGUAAAUUUAACACUAAAUAGCUGCAUGUGCCAUUUCUAAAAAUACUAUGCACGCACAAAAAUAUAUUUUUAAACUUGAUGCACCUCAGAAAUGCGCAUGUUUCCCGUUAUAAACCAGGCCUGCCGUAAAACUGUGUGUGGGGAAAGGGCAUUAAGACUCCGCCUGAAAAACGCCCAUCAGGCACCUUUUAUGGUGACAAUAAAGCCCUUAUUUGCUGUGUACUUUGGAAGUAUUAGAAUUAGGCCAAGACCAUAUGUAAACGAAAUAGCAAUGUACUAUCAACUUGAUGAAAUGUCUUUGGAGGUGUUGGCAGAAUGUUUUCCUUUACAGUGACAUUUGCUGUAUCUGACCAUUUCUGAAAGACGAAAACAAUUACAAAUUAUUGUGGACAUAUAAACAGAUCGUUUGAAUAUAAUAAUGUUUGCAUUCAUUUU